UUCUGGUUGAUCCUGCCGGAGGCUACCGCUAUUGGAGUUCGAUUAAGCCAUGCGAGUCGCGAGUCUUAGGGACUCGGCGUACCGCUCAGUAACACGUGGGUAACCUGCCCUAUGCUGGGGGAUAACCUCGGGAAACUGAGAAUAAUACCCCAUAGUUCACCACGCCUGGAACGGUGGGUGGAUGAAAGCUCCGGCGGCAUAGGAUGGGCCUGCGGCGUAUCAGGUUGUAGGGGGUGUAAUGUACCCUCUAGCCAUCUACGCGUACGGGUGUUGGGAGACAUCGCCCGGAGAUGGAUUCUGAGACACGAAUCCAGACCCUACGGGGUGCAGCAGGCGCGAAAACUUGGCAAUGCGAGAAAUCGUGACCAGGGAACUCCAAGUGCAUCGGGUAAGACCGAUGCUUUUCUUGACUCUUCAAAGGUCUUGGAAUAAGGGGUGGGUAAGGACGGUGCCAGCCGCCGCGGUAAUACCGGCGCCUCAAGUGGUAGUCGCUUUUAUUGGGCCUAAAACGUCCGUAGCCGGUUUGGUACAUUCGUGGGUAAAUCAAGGCGCUCAACGUCUUGAAUUCUGCGAGCACGGCCAGACUUGGGACCGGGUGAGGUGUGGGGUACUCUCAGGGUAGGGGUAAAAUCCUGUCAUCCUGAGAGGACCACCUGUUGCGAAGG
rnacentral:rRNA from 1 species